rnacentral:rRNA from 1 species
UACGUAGGGUGCAAGCGUUGUCCGGAAUCAUUGGGCGUAAAGAGCGUGUAGGCGGCCCGGUAAGUCCGCUGUGAAAGUCGGGGGCUCAACCCUGGGAUGCCGGUCGAUACUGCCGGACUAGAGUUCGGAAGAGGCGAGUGGAAUUCCCGGUGUAGCGGUGAAAUGCGCAGAUAUCGGGAGGAACACCUAUGGCGAAGGCAGCUCGCUGGGACGUUACUGACGCUGAGACGCGAAAGCGUGGGGAGCAAACAGG